UACGUAGGGUGCGAGCGUUAAUCGGAAUUACUGGGCGUAAAGUGUGCGCAGGCGGCCGCGCAAGUCGAUUGUGAAAGCCCUGGGCUUAACCUGGGAAUUGCAGUCGAAACUACUCGGCUAGAGUAUGGGAGAGGACAGUGGAAUUCCCGGUGUAGCGGUGAAAUGCGUAGAUAUCGGGAGGAACAUCAGUGGCGAAGGCGGCUGUCUGGCCCAAUACUGACACUCAGGUGCGACAGCGUGGGGAGCAAACAGG
rnacentral:rRNA from 1 species